AUAUGAUUAGGAUUUAGCAAAGAUUUGAAUAAAAUUUGAAUAAAAUUAGAUUAAGAAUUGACUAGGAUUAGAUUAGGAUUUGAUUAAGAUUUGAUUAGAAUUGAUUAAUAUUUAGUCUAGGAUUUAAUUUAGAUUUUGACUAGGACUUAACUAGGAUUUGAUUAAGAUUUAAUUAAGACUUGACUAAAAUUUGAUUAAAAUUUGAUUAGAAUUAGAUUAAAAUUUGAUUAGGAUUCAAUUAGGAUUUGAUUAAGAUUACAUUAAUACUUAAUUAUGGUUUGAUUAGGAUUUGACUAAGAUUUUAUUGAUAUUUAAUUAUAAUUAGAUUAAAAUUUGAUUAGGAUUUGAUUAGGAUUUGACUAGGAUUUGAU
rnacentral:lncRNA from 1 species